rnacentral:rRNA from 1 species
AUUGAACGCUGGCGGCAUGCUUUACACAUGCAAGUCGGACGGCAGCACAGAGAAGCUUGCUUCUUGGGUGGCGAGUGGCGAACGGGUGAGUAACAUAUCGGAACGUACCGAGCAGUGGGGGAUAACUAAUCGAAAGAUUAGCUAAUACCGCAUAUCUUCUGAGGAAGAAAGCAGGGGACCAUUUGGCCUUGCGCUGUUUGAGCGGCCGAUAUCUGAUUAGCUAGUUGGUGGGGUAAAGGCCUACCAAGGCGACGAUCAGUAGCGGGUCUGAGAGGAUGAUCCGCCACACUGGGACUGAGACACGGCCCAGACUCCUACGGGAGGCAGCAGUGGGGAAUUUUGGACAAUGGGCGCAAGCCUGAUCCAGCCAUGCCGCGUGUCUGAAGAAGGCCUUCGGGUUGUAAAGGACUUUUGUCAGGGAAGAAAAGGGCGGGGUUAAUACCCCUGUCUGAUGACGUACCUGAAGAAUAAG